GGAAGGAACUAACAGGGAUUCCCCUAGUAACUGCGAGUGAAGCGGGAAAAGCUCAAAUUUAAAAUCUGGUAGUCUCUGGCUGCCCGAGUUGUAAUCUAGAGAAGUGUUAUCCGCGCUGGACCGUGUACAAGUCUCCUGGAAUGGAGCGUCAUAGAGGGUGAGAAUCCCGUCUUUGACACGGACUACCAGGGCUUUGUGAUGCGCUCUCAAAGAGUCGAGUUGUUUGGGAAUGCAGCUCUAAAUGGGUGGUAAAUUCCAUCUAAAGCUAAAUAUUGGCGAGAGACCGAUAGCGAACAAGUACCGUGAGGGAAAGAUGAAAAGAACUUUGGAAAGAGAGUUAAAUAGUACGUGAAAUUGUUGAAAGGGAAACGCUUGAAGUCAGUCGCGUUGGCUAGGAAUCAGCCUUGCUUUUGCUUGGUGUACUUCCUUGUUGACGGGUCAGCAUCAAUUUUGACCGGUGGAAAAAGGCUAGUGGAAUGUGGCAUCUUCGGAUGUGUUAUAGCUGCUAGUUGUAUACAUCGGUUGGGAUUGAGGAACUCAGCACGCCGAAAGGUCGGGGUUUUGCCCACGUUCGUGCUUAGGAUGCUGGCAUAAUGGCUUUAAUCGACCCGUCUUGAAACACGGACCAAGGAGUCUAACAUGCCUGCGAGUGUUUGGGUGGAAAACCCGAGCGCGUAAUGAAAGUGAAAGUUGAGAUCCCUGUCGUGGGGAGCAUCGACGCCCGGACCAGACCUUUUGUGACGGAUCCGCGGUAGAGCAUGUAUGUUGGGACCCGAAAGAUGGUGAACUAUGCCUGAAUAGGGUGAAGCCAGAGGAAACUCUGGUGGAGGCUCGUAGCGAUUCUGACGUGCAAAUCGAUCGUCAAAUUUGGGUAUAGGGGCGAAAGACUAAUCGAACCAUCUAGUAGCUGGU
rnacentral:rRNA from 1 species